AUUGAACGCUGGCGGCAUGCUUUACACAUGCAAGUCGAACGGUAACGCGGGGGCAACCCUGGCGACGAGUGGCGAACGGGUGAGUAAUACAUCGGAACAUGUCCUGGAGGUGGGGGAGUAGCUCGGCGAAAGCCGGAUUAAUACCGCAUACGCUCUGAGGAGGAAAGCGGGGGACGUCGUAAGGGCCUCGCGCUGCAGGAGUGGCCGAUGUCGGAUUAGCUAGUUGGNGGGGUAAAGGCCCACCAAGGCGACGAUCCGUAGCUGGUCUGAGAGGAUGAUCAGCCACACUGGGACUGAGACACGGCCCAGACUCCUACGGGAGGCAGCAGUGGGGAAUUUUGGACAAUGGGGGCAACCCUGAUCCAGCCAUGCCGCGUGAGUGAUGAAGGCCCUAGGGUUGUAAAGCUCUUUCGGCGGGACGA
rnacentral:rRNA from 1 species